rfam:Leclercia adecarboxylata strain I1 Leclercia_S84_R1__paired__contig_20, whole genome shotgun sequence.
AGUAGGCGUUCAGUGUUCGCUGACAGAGCGCCGAACGCACACAGUCAUCUUUCGUAAACUGUACUAUCCCUACCAUCUCAUCCUCAUCGAAACGUGCCAACGCAUCGCUCAGACCCGAUUUUACGCCGGCCGGCAGGUCGCACUGGGUGAUAUCCCCGUUCACGAUCACCGUCACGUUUUCCCCGAGGCGCGUC